rnacentral:rRNA from 1 species
AUUGAACGCUAGCGGCAUGCUUUACACAUGCAAGUCGAACGAGUGGCGGACGGGUGAGUAAUAUAUCGGAACGUGCCCAGUAGCGGGGGAUAACUACUCGAAAGAGUGGCUAAUACCGCAUACUCUUGGAGCAGCCGAUAUCGGAUUAGAUAGUUGGUGGGGUAAAGGCUCACCAAGGCAACGAUCCGUAGCUGGUCUGAGAGGAUGACCAGCCACACGGGGACUGAGACACGGCCCAGACUCCUACGGGAGGCAGCAGUGGGGAAUUUUGGACAAUGGGGGAAACCCUGAAGCAGCCAUGCCGCGUGUAUGAGAAGGCCUUCGGGUUGUAAAGUACUUUUGGCAGCGAAGCGGUAUCUGCAGAUUAAGCACCGGCUAACUACGUGCCAGCAGCCGCGGUAAUAC